GAGAGAGGUAUAGUUGUUGGAGGGGGCGUUUCCCCGGUAUGGCUAUUAUGUGUUCUUUCUGUAGUCUUCCUCCAGAUUUCUGCCGCCUCCUUCUUCUUCUCAGCUGUUUACCCCCGUUGGCAGGAUUUAACACCGAGGGACCUCGGAAUUUGUUUCCAAAUCUUUCUUCCUGCCCUCCCACCAUCUAGAGGAGCCUUGAGAGCAACGAGAGAUGAAACAAAGAAAAACAGAGAGUGAAAGAGAGAAAAGGCGAAAAAUAGGUGGAAGAGGGCGGUGGCCCCUGUUUGUGCUCCUGUCUCGAUUACGGGUAUUCUUGGGUUGAUAAUACAGAUGUCGAUGUUAUUGCUUGAGAAUACGCGUAGCUGAGUGGAAGCCAUAUUCAUCUGAUGCCUACGGUGGAAUAAAUCAAAUAACACAGCCAAGGAAAUUAAAGAGAUAAGAAGCAUGAUGGUGUUCUCUUGUGUAUCAUGGGGCAACGGGUGCUGCAGAAUGGGAGGUGAUUGGCAACUGUGACAACGAGGAGGGAGUGACUUUUGACCUCCUUCUCUGGCAAGGAAAGAAAUAGGAGGGACAGUGUGAGCGAGAGAAGGGGGAAACAGCACAACAAUCAAUAGUAUAAAUAUUCAUUCAAUAGAGCCUCUUUUCACCUCAUUGCAAAAACUCUCUCACUCAUCAUGCAGAGGAAUACACACAAACAUACGUUCAUUUGUGUGUACAGAGCAACACUCAGAUGUGCAGAUGUGCCUCAUCAUACAUGCGUAAUCGAAUAGUACAACACUCUGUUGCAGACACUCGCUCUCUGACAUGCACACUCAGCAGAGCCUUGGUGAAAUGUGUAGCCUUGUUCUACCACUUUCUCAAUCUCUCUCACACUCACACAGCAUUUCCUCCUUCGCCGCUCCUGUCUACACAUAUACAUGACAUCUCUCUCUCUCUCUCUCUCUCUCUCUCUCUCUCUCUGCAUGGCUAAACUAAUAAGGAUGUGAUUAACAGUAUUGUAAUUGGCCUGUAAUCAGUGUUAAUUAGCAGUGAGAUACUGCAGCAGAACAGAACAGUUGCAACGUCUCAGCAUCUCAGUAACUUUCCCCUUACCGCAUCACCUUAUCCUGAACAACCUGUGUGCCUCCGUACUCUUCUGUAUACUGUAACCAUGUUCGGCGUGUACAUGUGUUUUUCUUUGACAAGAAAAAUGACACGUUUUGAAACUAUACCGAAUAUGUAAUAUAUAAAUACUGUAUAUCUAUAAUAACAUUGUACAUACUGUAUGUAAGUAUUAAACAUGUCAGAAUGUGCUGUUAUAGGAAAAUAAACAAAGAUGAGGUUGUGUGAUUUGAAGUGGCAAUGAUUUUUUUUAAUGCAAAUUGUCAUAAUUGUAAACAUUUACAGCUCCAAUUGAUGCAGUGAAACGUUAAGUUAGGUUAUGUGGUGUGAACGAACAAGUCCCUGUGCAUGAGCUGUUACUAUAGGAAUGAUAAGAUAUUAAACAAGCGAGUUAAUACAAAGCUUUCGUUUGAAUUACAGCUGAUUUUACCAUCAGAAUUCAUCAACACCUUACUACAAAUCAGAUUAGACAGUGCUGUGGCGUUGUCAGAAAUAACUCCGUCCUCAAGGCACAAUACAGUAAUAAGAGUUUACUGUCUAUAAAGUGCAACAGAUGGCAGAGUUUGUGCAGCAAGCCUUUUUACAGUUGGCAACAGGGUUUGACAAUAACACACGCUAAAGCACACAUCAUCUGUAGUUUCAGGUGUAAUAUAAUAAAAUAUAUUACAGUCACAGUGUACAACAGAAUAAUCAUGUACUAUCUCCUGAAAUAAUACUUACCCAAAUAUGAACUCAUAAUGAGUUACCUUCAGUAACAGCUCAGGUAUUAGUGCAUGAUUAUUCAUGUACUGUUAUUUUAAAUGACCACAAAUAAAACAAAACCACCACAACAACCUUGCUCGUCCAUGGAGAAAUGGCUCUAUGUUAUUCAAGUAACUUCUCAGACAAAAAAAUGAAUCCUGGCUGUGAGGGAUUACUUUAAAAACAGCAGAAAGAAGUCUGACAAAUCUUACAGUAAGCCUGUGCUAGGUUCUACAAACUAAACUAAUAAUACCAACUACACAAAAUGUAGACCGCUGAUCCAUUUUAAAUUGUUAUCAUAGCAAAUAUUGGCACUCGGGUCUCCAGCACCGAACCUUUAUUUCAUGAUUGAUGGAAUUUAUGUUAAAACUAUAACGAAUGAUGCUCAAAGGUUGCCCUAAAGCCCAUGGUUGCAUAAUUGCACUCGACUAUACAUAGUUCAUAUUUACCCAGAGAGUCACCCAGAUGAGGAUGAAUUUCCUCUCAUAGGUUUCUUCCUCAUAUCGUCUCAAAGGAUUUUUUUUGCUACAGUUGUCUAUGGCUUAUGCCAGGAUUAGCAAUAGAUAUAAAUAAAAAUUUCAAUAAAAAUUUCAUUCUGAUUUCUAACAUUCCUAUAAAACUGCAUUGUGACAACGUCCAUUGUUAAAAAACAACAUUCAAUUUGAGUUUAGUACUGUUUAGUGCUUUUUAUAGAUGCUUGUCUUCAUGUGUAAUUGCAUCAUCUUUGAAGUGUGUGUGUACAGUAUGUGUGUGUGUGUGUGUGUGUGUGUGUGUGUGUGUGUGUGUGUGUGUGUGUGUGUGUGUGUGUGUGUGUGUGUACAUAUAUUUCAUCAUUUCAUUAUGAAUGCAGUGUAGUUACAGUUAUGAGAAUUUAUGUAAAGUAUUUCAAAUAUAGUAUGCAAUAAGAUGCAAGAUGUCUCUGCUAAGCUAAACUAACAGCUAACAGAUGUUUGUCUGCAGGACUGAAGGCUGUAGAAGAUGAAUUCAAGCACUGUGUAAAAUCUGCUUCGUUACACGUGGUUUCUUUUCUAAGCUUGUACACAGUAAACCGUGCAUCACUUCUUCCACGCUGAGACAGGACUGACAGAUGUGUGCUGGCUGGCUGUGCAGGAUGGAGAGAGCAGGCAGGUAGGGCCCUCUGACAGGUGUUAUGUGCCACAUCUGGCCAAAGGUCCCUGAGCACGAACGUCUUCUGUCAUUCCACCUAGCAGUCAGCCUCGUCACUCAUGCAUCACGCUGCAUGACGGCUCUCCGCCAAGACAGAUGUUAUAGUCAGACAGUUCAUUUUCCUGCUACCUUCUGGUCUUAAAUGAAAUAAAUACAGCUGGUAGGCUCUGUUAUUAAUUAAUCAUUAGAAAUGAAUUUAGGCUCUAUUAUGCAGCAAGCUGAAAGCAAAUAUAUUGUGUAUAAAAUGUUUAGCGCAAUGCAGCUUUGCACAGACAUUUCCAUUCGAUGCCUCGCCUUAACUGUUUAUUUACCGUAAUGCUCUGCUAUUCAGAAUGUUAUUUAUAUAGAUGCUGAAGAAGAUGUGAACGCAAGUGCAGCUAAACCGUGAUGACGAAAAAAGAGUAAAAAUGUGUAAGAGACAAAAGAGGGAAGAGAAGGAAAAUAUUCAACUUCAUUAUAUAAAGGUGAGGAAAGGAAAAUGUGCAGAAACAUUUGAACAUAUUUUAAAAUAAUACUGUAAUCAUAGUCAGAACAUCAGCAAUACUGAAUUGUUCUCAAGAAUAAAAUGAAGGUGAUUAAGCUUUUUUAAAUGAAAAAAAAAACAUGUUUUUUCCUUGUAUUUGCCUGAGAAAAAGCACAAAGUCCUCCUGCACAAAUUCUUGCACAAGGAUUUAUAGUAGGAGGCUCAUUGUAUGCAUUUAAAUGCACGAGUUGCCCUUCAUGACUGUUUAUUGUUUAUCCGAGAGAGGAGAGGGCAUAAUUACUGCAGAAUAGAUGUAGAUGUGUAAAGUGUCAUGAGCAGAAGGGGAGAUUUUGUGCUCUGUGUAGGUGUUUUAUGGCACAAUGCUAUGCAAAGCACUAUCAACAAAAACACCCCAUGCUGAUUUACACUCCUACACACACACAGACACAGUCCAGGCUUAUACAGGACUGUCAUGCAGGAAUUAAAACUAGAUAACACUGGAUUCUUUUUUUUUUUUUAAUAAAUAGGUAUGAACAAAAAUGCAUUUUAAGGGGUGUGAUUCUAAUGUGAAGUGGCAGUUAGCAAAUCUGUUUUCACACUAAAAUAAUGAGCCUGGUUGUUAUGUGAUGUUCCGGCUACAUUAGACUUUAGAACUGUGCUGCCACAGGGCUUAUCACACAAACAUGAUUCCUGUUAUGCAAGUUAUUGGCAAGCUGAUUUCUGUAACUCCCAUAUCUGACAAUACCGCCCCCUGGUGGUCAUGAAUUCCUCUGCAGGGCAGGUUUUUUUCUUCAUUAAACACCAUUUGUAAGCUCAAUAUACUUAUUUUAAUACGUUAGGCUGUAACAUUACAAAAUACCAUCUUGGAUUUUAAUAAUCUGGCAGCAAUGAUUAAAAAAAAGUCAAAAUCGUUAGCUGUGACUUUUGAUGUUACUAUGAUUAAAUAAUUAAACAGUAUAUUACAAUCUAGUACAUUCACACAUAAUAUGGUAUACUGUCUCAGAAUGAGUCUUAUAUUUGACCUUUGUAAGCCAUAAAAUUGUCCUCCUCUAUAUUCAUAAUAUAAAAUUCAUAAGCAACAACUGUGUAUGUCUGUUUGCAAUGCAUUUCCUUUUUUUUCUUCUUUUUUGUAAAUACAUCAAACAUGGCAGAUAUUACAAAUGACAGAUGGUUGUAUAUAUGCUUAUAGCUGUUAUUCAUAUCGAUCAUGUGGAUUGGGUGAAGUUAUGAAAGUUAUAAAGAAUUGGGAAGGUAAUGAAGUUAUGAAAUCAUUAUUUGAUUCCUGCCGAAAAUGAAAAAUGAAUAUCGGAUAAGCCUGUAUUUGACUAUGCAGUCUUGACAAAUUUCAUGAAAGUAAAGGAAGCAGUGGCAGUGAAUUAAUAACUAUAUGUCAUUUCAAAAGAACCUUUUGACAUCCCUUCCCCUUCGCUUUUUAAAAGGCUAUAAAUAAAAAUAAAGGUCUUUAAUAGCAAACUGUGCCGCACACUUAGCAAGGGUCUUGAGGAGGCACUGAACCUGCCAGACAUCUUGCAAUUACAAGCAGGACAAGUGCAUGUUAGCAGGAAUCUGCCAAAUAAAGAAAUGACCUUAAAUCUCAGAGACGGACAUUCAGCUGUUUUAAAAGGCAUUCUAAGAAAUGUUUGAGGUCAACGAAAGACUCCCUUCAGUACCUCUUUUUCAUAGAAAAAGCAAUAAGAACCAUUCAUUAUAGAGACACAACUAAUAAAUGGGUUCAUGCAGGAAAGGGAAUAUCUUAGGCCUGUGUAUGGACAAACAGUAAACUAAAAGAAAGAAUCAUUACUUUUCACAGCGUUUAGCCUGCUGCUACACCUGAUGGAAGUAUAUCUCUUUUUUGUAAACACACUAUAAGGCAUAAUCUUUGUAAAAAUGUCAGACAAUUCACUUUGUCACUUUGUCACUGUGCCUUAGGCAUAAAAUAUUAAACAACUAUAAAAUAUAUCCUAAAGCAUUACCAGACUAGGUUAAAAAAACAAAAAACAUGACUUUAUGACUGCUGUAUUCAUGAUACAAACAAAGAAAAAUUCUGUUUAUUCUGUUUAAACACGUCUAAAUCUAUUAUAUCGAUGUCUAUGUACACAGCAGGGCAUGUGGGGCAUUGCAGCAAAGAAACAAAAUAAAAUCAUUGAUACAAAGCUGUGUGUAUGUUUCUUCUUCUUCUUCCUAUUAUUAUUAUUAUUAUUAUUAUUAUUAUUAGUGUAUUACUUAAUAUUAAGUUAUCCAUGAUCUCAGUGACCGUGGUAUGGUUGUUCGUGCCACAAAGAUUUAAAUGGCUACAAGGCAGAAAUGGCUUGCUGUUAAGAGGUCAGAGAAGAAUGGUCAGACUGGUUCAAGCUGACAGAAAGGCUUUGGUAACACAAAUAACCUGUCUUUACAACUAUGGCUAACAGAAAAACAUCUCAGAAUGCACAACACAUUGAACCUUGAGGCAGUCGGGUUACACAGCCUCAAUACAUCAGGUUUCACUUCUGUCAGCUAAAAACCGGAAUCUGAGGAAACAUUUGGCAACGACUCACCAAAGACAAAAAUUCUACAAAUUGUUUGUUCUCCACUGUUCAGUUUAUGUGAACCUGAUGUUCCUGUUUUGCUAAAAAUGGUCUAACAUCCAAAUAGUAUCUGUUCAGACAUGAUGGUGCUUUGCUGGAUGAACACAGUGAGACAGUGACCAUAAUGCAAAUGGUGUACAUUGGCAAAAUGAAUAUACUGCAAAUUACUUACAGUAAUUUGACCCUAAGUGUACUUUCAAGUAGUAUAUAGAACUGUACAAAUAAUUGAGCCAUCCAAGAAAGUUACACAAUAUGGCCAAAGUUUGUAUACACCUGACCAUAUGUGCUAGGAACAUUCCUUGCAAUAUUUAAUUCCCCAUUGAUGUUAUAAUAAUCUCAACUC